UCAUUAGUGGCCUAUAUAAGCCUCAUACAGGCCAUGGGAAGACAUUACCUGUUGAUAACACAGACUAUUUUCAUGAUCAUGGGAGGUGUGAGAGAAUUGCUGCUCGUUGUGAUGACUGUGGGGGUUGUCAAAGUUUCUUGUUACCCUGUUGGAAAGUCCCAGAAGCAAGAUCAAGUCUCUCUGCAGAGGAGACUUGGAGAGCUGUCAUCAAAUGACGUCUCCAUUGUGCAUGCCCUGGCCUUGCUCCGAUCCAUAGGGUCUGACGCGAAACAAACCAGAGAAGAGUAUUUAGAGACCAAUGAAGUAGAAUCCCAAGCUUCUCCAAACCAUGGUAGUUCUCCGGCAAAUGAUGCCCUGUCCUCUGAGGAGAAGCUGAGGCACAUGUCCUCUGACGACGCCACCUCUGAAGCUGCCACCGGCCCGUCCUCUGACGACGCCACCUCUGAAGCUGCCACCGGCCCGUCCUCUGACGACGCCACCUCUGAAGCUGCCACCGGCCCGUCCUCUGACGACGCCACCUCUGAAGCUGCCACCGGCCCGUCCUCUGACGACGCCACCUCUGAAGCUGCCACCGGCCCGUCCUCUGACGACGCCACCUCUGAAGCUGCCACCGGCCCGUCCUCUGACGACGCCACCUCUGAAGCUGCCACCGGCCCGUCCUCUGACGACGCCACCUCUGAAGCUGCCACCGGCCCGUCCUCUGACGACGCCACCGGCCCGUCCUCUGACGACGCCACCUCUGAAGCUGCCACCGGCCCGUCCUCUGACGACGCCACCUCUGAAGCUGCCACCGGCCCGUCCUCUGACGACGCCACCUCUGAAGCUGCCACCGGCCCGUCCUCUGACGACGCCACCUCUGAAGCUGCCACCGGCCCGUCCUCUGACGACGCCACCUCUGAAGCUGCCACCGGCCCGUCCUCUGACGACGCCACCUCUGAAGCUGCCACCGGCCCGUCCGCUGACGACGCCACCUCUGAAGCUGCCACCGGCCCGUCCGGCUGACGACGCCACCUCUGAAGCUGCCACCGGCCCGUCCGGUGACGACGCCACCUCUGAAGCUGCCACCGGCCCGUCCGGUGACGACGCCACCUCUGAAGCUGCCACCGGCCCGUCCGGUGACGACGCCACCUCUGAAGCUGCCACCGGCCCGUCCUCUGACGACGCCACCUCUGAAGCUGCCACCGGCCCGUCCUCUGACGACGCCACCGGCCCGUCCUCUGACGACGCCACCUCUGAAGCUGCCACCGGCCCGUCCUCUGACGACGCCACCGGCCCGUCCUCUGACGACGCCACCUCUGAAGCUGCCACCGGCCCGUCCUCUGACGACGCCACCUCUGAAGCUGCCACCGGCCCGUCCUCUGACGACGCCACCUCUGAAGCUGCCACCGGCCCGUCCUCUGACGACGCCACCUCUGAAGCUGCCACCGGCCUGUCCUCUGACGACGCCACCUCUGAAGCUGCCACCGGCCCGUCCUCUGACGACGCCACCUCUGAAGCUGCCACCGGCCCGUCCUCUGACGACGCCACCUCUGAAGCUGCCACCGGCCCGUCCUCUGACGACGCCACCUCUGAAGCUGCCACCGGCCCGUCCUCUGACGACGCCACCUCUGACGCUGCCACCGGCCCGUCCGGCGACGACGCCACCUCUGAAGCUGCCACCGGCCCGUCCGGCGACGACGCCACCUCUGAAGCUGCCACCGGCCCGUCCGGCGACGACGCCACCUCUGAAGCUGCCACCGGCCCGUCCGGCGACGACGCCAUGGAUAUCUGACGUGGGACAUGCAAUAGUUAACGGGUACUCUAGUCCAGUGUGUAACUGCAUUUGCUUGUUUUGGCUCAAAUAAACAUUAACUGUAAUA